CUGAUAUUCUAUGUAUAGUUUGCUGAACUCAGCACAGUGUCAUCCAUUUACAGGUUUCCUCAGUUACUUUCUAAACAUAUUCCAAUGAGGUGGGUGAAAAAAAGAGUCAAAACACAUGUCAAUUACAAAAUGCUAGGGAACUGAUUUGAUAGGCUGAUCUUCCCUUGUAUAAUUCAUUUAGUGGAUGCAUUUUAGACUUGAUUCAUUCUCCCAUAUUAAGGUUCUUUAUUCCUGAUCCUGAAGAGUUACAAUACAGGAUUGCUAUUUAGUAAUAGAAACCAGUGGCUGAUUCUUCUCUAAAGAUAACUGCUUUGUGGUAUUGAAAGGCUCCAGCCUCUGCUUGCUGCUCUUGUAAUGACUCUCCCAACCAUUAGCUGGCACUAGGGGUUACACAGACUAGUCGAGUAGUCGAGUGAUCGAUUACUUUUACCACUAGUCGGCGCUGUCGGAAACAAUCGACUACUCGAGCGUGCAUUAACCAUAAUGCAUGCACAGUUUGCCUAGAACGCAAAUUGUAGGAUUACAAUAUUGCGUGUAGCUGAUACUUUCUAUCACUUUCUCUAUGUUACAUGUAAAAUUAAAAUAUCUAAUUUAAUAAUUAGGGGUGUGCCUGAAGCCGAAUGGCACGGAUAAUGGCUUCAAAAACGGAUAACGGAUAAGGAAUAAUUCUGCCUGAAUAUUCGGCUGAAGCUGGCACAGUCUGGUGUUUGCUAGAUAAGAGGUGUUUCACUGUUUUCCCUGCUGAGGAUCUGUUGGGAGCAAGUGGUGUAAUGCUAAAUUUCUCCAAAUCUGUUUCCAUGAAGAAACAAACUCAUCUACAUCAUGGCCUGAGGGUGUGUACAUUUCAACUAUUCCUUUAAGGCAUUGUAGACAGAACAGUAUAACUUUAAAGCUGCUUUAAAAACAAUUUGUAUUGUGAAAAGAGCUACACAAUUAUAUUUGACUUGACUUAAUUUUUCACUCUUCUACCUUUUAUCCCCUCAGGUUCAGGCUCUAAGCAGACAGGAAAUCAAAGAGAUGAUGGUCAUUUUGAGGGAUUUGAUUUUCAUUUCCUUCAGUCUUUGUAUCAUGACUUAAGUCUAUUUUGACUUUCUGACCUCAGCAGGAACUUGAAUGACCCCUUCAGUAUGUUGUCUUGUAUUACAGUUCCUCCAAGAGAUCUUUUCAAGUCAUAAUGCAAGCCACAAUACUUUAAGUUAAUGAAUAUAUACAACUGUCUUUUAACCAAACCAACACAAUUAAAAUUCUUGAAUAAAAAAGUAUUGAUAGUUGAAAGUUGAAUGAAA
ensembl:lncRNA